CGGUAUAAGUUUCCCAUUGACACUCCCUCUCUCUCUCUCUUCCGCGCCUUCAAGGCCUGGAAGUCUGUGACGCCCUCUUCCUUCGACCACCGUCACCUCCUCGGAUUGCCCGCAACUGGAUGUGGUUCCUCUCCCCGUCGUCAAGAUCUAGUAAAAAGGGGAAGUUCAAAGGUAAAAGGGCAACAUGAUUGCAUUCGCCACCUCAUCUUUUGCUCUGAUUUGAGCGAGGAUCCCACUGGCUACAUUGCCGGACUGUUCUUGGUACGUUGACGUGCUUCUCUUCCACGAUGAAAUGAAUCGAAAAGUCCAACAAUUAAAAAUUUUGUUGGAUUAAUGUCAAUCAAUAGUCAACCACUGUUCAUUGCUGGCCGCGUGUCCUCCAUGUGCCUCUCAAUUUUUUUACAGUUUUCUCUCAAUAAUUUUUAUUAUCAUCUGGAUUUAUACGUUCAUCUCAAUCAGAUUCUAAGGGUUUUAUGUUCAUGCUUCAAAUUUAUAUUAUCACCUUUAGAAAUAGGAAUAAGAGUUUGUGUGAUAGUCAUGAAUUGGAUGGAUUGCCUUGAACUUACCUAGAGAGUUUCACUUUGCCACCUUAGAAACUAUUGAAGGUAAGAGAUUAGAGAGAGAGUUUUUUUUCCCCCUCCAAAUUGAGGAUAAAGUAUUAAUCAAUUGCAAUAAGAAGAUUAGUGUCUUUAUUGCAUUUUCA